UACGUAGGGGGCAAGCGUUGUCCGGAUUUAUUGGGCGUAAAGAGCGUGUAGGCGGCUUGGAAGGUCAGCUGUGAAAACUCGAGGCUCAACCUCGAGACGUCGGUUGAAACCACCUGGCUAGAGUCCGGAAGAGGAGAAUGGAAUUCCUGGUGUAGCGGUGAAAUGCGCAGAUAUCAGGAAGAACACCCGUGGCGAAGGCGGUUCUCUGGGACGGUACUGACGCUGAGACGCGAAAGCGUGGGGAGCGAACAGG
rnacentral:rRNA from 1 species